UAGCUGAAUUUUGUGAUUUCAUAUAGAUGUUGAAUAAACAUGAAUGUAUUCUUAUCGGAUUCUAUUAAGUUUUUCAUGGUGGCCAGGCAGACCUAGCAGGUAGGGUCCCUUGACUGCCUAAAUGGACUGCCUCAUGCUUAGGCAGUCCAUUUCAGAAAAGGGAAAAGAAAGGCCAUGAAGGUCACAAAAUAUCGUUGCUGAUCUUUUUUUUUUAAAAAAAAAUAUCAAACUAUGCAUGUAAAUAACCAAAUAUACCAUUAUAGCAUGAUAGGAGCUAAUAUUGAUCAAAACAGGAAAGCUUUUCAUCGCAUACCAAUCUGCCAAGUCAACAAUAAUAAUGACCAGUCAUAGCAAAGGUGAGUUAUUAUAAGCUAAUGUGUUAAACAAUUUAACAAGCUAGAAAUGCAUGGUAACAACUUAUUACAAGCAGCAACAAUUGCAAAAUCCAGAAGGAUGAGAAGAAUUAAAAGAGAGAAAAACAGAAAGAAAAAUAAACAAAAUUUCAACAUGGGGGGGACAAAAGAAACAACAGAGAACAAAAAUAGAAACAAUGAAUAAAUAAAAGUAAAAAAAAAAAAACAAGAGAGGAUGGAGAUGAAGAUUAGAAGAAAAGGAUCUCUCAAAAGAGAAGGGGAUGAAGAAAGAAGAAGAGAAGAGAAAAAUGAUCAUUUGAGAGAGAAGGUAAAAAGAAGAAUAAGAGGAGAAGAAAAGAGGAAGGAACAGAAAAAGGGAAGCAGAUGGAGUAAAAAGAAAAAGAAGAAAAUGUAUGUGCAGACACAAAACAAACACUCUCGGAUCCUUUAGGCAGUCAGGCAACUGCUGGUGGGUUACUCGAAAUGAUCAUGUGACUUACGUUAUUUCUACUCCAAGUUAUUUAUAUUAAGCUUAUUUCAGUCACAAUAGUAAAGAUACAAUAAGGAAUGAAGUACAAAUAAUAAACAAACAGGAAUACACAUUUGUGUGGAUAAAUAGGAUCUUGUCCUUCACUGCCAAGGCAGCCAGGCCUCUUUAGGUGCUUAUGCAGACUAUCUUGGCGCUGAUUUUGACAUCACUGGACAUUUUGUGAUAUUUUUUAUGCUUGUGCUGGCUUCUUAUUUUUAAUAGAAUAUUAGUAUGUGAGAUUGAAGCCUGAGAGAUUAAGAACAAAUUAUUGAUUCAGCCUGCUAUUGCAAUUAUAAAUAUGUUGGGCCCAACAAAAAGAGCCAGUCAUGCAAUGUAUGCGGUGUGGAAGCCAUGCUUUGUGCUGCAAUCUGUUAUGCAGCUGGUACACAGAAAUUCAAAGCUGAAGGCAUUUUUCAGGUAAGAUGAUCAAUGAAUUUUCAG
rnacentral:lncRNA from 1 species